rnacentral:lncRNA from 1 species
GUAGCCAUCCUCGGGGGGCAGGAGGACGACCUGGCGCAACAGGUGGCGAGUGUUGGCGAAGAAGCACACGUGCACGUCGACGCCUGGGUCCAGGUUGAUGGCGCGCGUGCGGGACUGCCACAGGUUGGCGACGGCGACGUCGAAGGUAGAGCAGCGCUGGCCGGUGAGCUCCAAGUGUCGGGACUUGACGUGAUCGAUGUGGUCAGGGGAUAGGUCGACGGUGGCGUGGAGCAGCUUGAAGGAGGGGAACACGGGCGGGCCACCGGGAGGCAGCUUAGGUGGGUUGGGUAUGACCUCCCGGGACCAUGCAGGCUCCACGGUGGGCUUCGGCAGGCCACGGGCGAUCUCGGCGACGGCGUUGAUGAACUGGGCGACGCCGAGGCCGUCGGCGAUGGUAUGGACGGAGAUGAGGCCGACCACGAAUCCGCCGCCCACGAACUCUGUCACCUG